CGGGCAGGCCGGGUGAUCGCUGUUCCGGGGCUCACGGCUGAGUUCCCGGAAUGGAGGAAAGUCCGGACUCCGGAGGGCAACGCGCCUGGUAACACCAGGGGGUCGGCACACUGGCUCCGUGCUGCGGAGCGGGGUGGCGGCCACGGAAAGUGCCACAGAGAAUAGACCGCCGAAGUGCCUGGCUCUGUGACAGGCUCGAGGCAAACCUCGAGCACGUCUUCCAUGGCCGGCACUGGCAAGGGUGAAACGGUGGGGUAAGAGCCCACCGCCCCGACAGCAAUGUCGGGGGCACGGUAAACCCCGCGUGGAGCAAGGCCAAAUAGGAGGGGAAGGGCUGGCCCGGCCCGCUGAUGGCUCACCGGCGUGAGCCGUCCUGAUUCGCCACGCCGGAAUUCCGGUGCGGCGAGUACAGUCAACCCUCGGGUAGGCCGCUUGAGCCCGGCAGCAAUGUCGGGCCCAGAGGAAUGAUCACCACGGGACGCAGGCCGAACGAGUCCGGCUGGCGAGUGCCACAUGGCGUGGCACCACACGGACGCUGGACGCGCCCCGACAGAAUCCGGCUUACAGGCCUGCCCGCCUU
rnacentral:RNase_P_RNA from 2 species